UGGGGAAUAUUGCACAAUGGGCGAAAGCCUGAUGCAGCGACGCCGCGUGGAGGAUGAAGGUUUUCGGAUUGUAAACUCCUGUUAAGUGGGAAGAAAGACGCAUACCUAAUACGUAUGCGGGAUGACGGUACCACUAGAGAAAGCACCGGCAAACUUCGUGCCAGCAGCCGCGGUAAUACGAAGGGUGCGAGCGUUAUUCGGAAUGACUGGGUGUAAAGAGCGUGGAGGCGGUUUGUUAAGUUAGUUGUUAAAUCGCCCGGCUUAACCGGGCAAUCGCGAUUAAAACUGACAAGCUAGAGUGUGGGAGAGAAAGGUAGAAUUCUCGGAGUAGCGGUAAAAUGCGUAGAUCUCGAGAGGAAUACCGGUUGCGAAGGCGGCCUUUUGGCCCACCACUGACGCUGGAGCGCGAAAGCGUGGGGAGCAAACAGG
rnacentral:rRNA from 1 species